rnacentral:rRNA from 1 species
UUGCCUACGGGACGCAGCAGUAGGGAAUCUUCCACAAUGGGCGAAAGCCUGAUGGAGCAACGCCGCGUGGGUGAAGAAGGUCUUCGGAUCGUAAAACCCUGUUGUUAGAGAAGAAAGUGCGUGAGAGUAACUGUUCACGUUUCGACGGUAUCUAACCAGAAGGCCACGGCUAACUACGUGCCAGCAGCCGCGGUAAUACGUAGGUGGCAAGCGUUAUCCGGAUUUAUUGGGCGUAAUGGGAACGCAGGCGGUCUUUUAAGUCUGAUGCGAAAGCCUUAGGCUUAACCGGAGAAGUGCAUUGGAAA